CACGGUUUGCUUAGGACAUAUCAGAAGCGUCUUCCUCGAGUUCAGAUUUUUUCUGCUCAAGGGGCUGCCCGCUGCAGAGCCCUACGGAGCGAUACCAACAGCUUCAGUGGGUUUUUUUUUGGCAGCAGCCCUCUGCUACUUCUCCCAGGGCAGCAAAAGAAGUUGGGGGCAAAGUGGAAAAGGUCUGCUUCCACCCCAGCCCCCGUUUAUGUCAAAAAUCUGCAAGGGAAAAGCUAGAACGAUGAGGAAAAUGCUCAUGUUCCCUCCUCAUUAGCAUUAAAGGUCUGGAUGUAAACCAGAUGUAAAUGGGCUCUGCUGCAGAGGGUAUUUUCUGCCACGUUUUGGGGCCAGAUCUGACCGCCCCCAGUUCCUGCUGAAAGCAACGUGGGCAUUCAGCUCCGCAGCCAACCGCUGUGCAGCACGAGAGCCAGGGACCACAGCGAGGAGCCUCAAAAAUGGGAACUGCCAGCAAAGGCCACGGCCCUGAGCUGCACUCCCCCCGAAGAGGAGGUUGGUAGCUGCAUUCAGAACCCACUUCAGCAUCUCCCUGCAUCUGCUCGGCCCGCUGCAAGCACUGCUUUGCCUUAGGGCUGAAGAGCAAGCGAGUGGGAAGGUUCAGAGCAGAACCAAAGCACCCCAGCAUCCAAAAUGCAAUGCACAAAGCAACACAGGUUGCUGCCAGGCCCAUAAGGCACCCAGCACCUGAGAAAGCAUCUCUAGGAGCUCAACGCCAAGAAAUGGGCGGUGCCUGGAUGCCAGGCUCCAUCCGAAUGAGACGCCGAAGGCCGGGGCAGGCUGGCACAAAGGCGAGCUGGCAGGAAUUCCUGCACUCGGCGCUCUGAAAAUCCACCCUGAAGAGUUCUGCCCCAUUUGGCCCCGAAGGGCGCGAGCACAGAGCGGGGGGGGAUAGUAAUCAUAAUGGUAAAAAUGGGGCAGAAAUAAAGCUGGGACCUUCCUGUGCGUCGACGCAGGUUAAACAAAAGGCCUGGGGACGUGGAUAGGGCUCUGCGCCCCCCCCCGCCGUGCGCUCCUUCCCGCCCGCACGCCCCCUCGUCCCGCCUCGUGCUCGGUGCAAAAAGGGCAAAAAAAGGGCAAAAAGCCGAAAGCGACGCGCCGGCCACGAGGGCAGCAUGGCAGCAACCGCCUCCGCGGGGGCAGGACGGGGGCCGUUUGUGUUUUAGGGCGUAUUUGGGGGCCUUUUUGUUGCUGCUGCGAGCACAUGGG
ensembl:lncRNA